AGGAAUUUGUACGGUGGAUGUUACAAAAAGUACAUCUACUGCUGUCAGCAGCAGCCCCUUUGCUUCAUCAGCCUUUCAAGAAAGGCAGAAGGGAAAACACAAGGGUGAAGAGGAAGCACAGGAAGAGGUGUCAGUGGGUGAAGCCCCUCUUGCAAAGAAGAUUGAGGCUUGGACAGUAUGAUAACCUGAUGAAUGUGCU